AGUCACAGGGAAUCUAGUUAAAACGCAGAUUCUGUUUCAGUAGAAGGAUGGGGACUGAGAUUCUGCAUUUCUAACAAGCUCCCAGUAGAUGCCCA
rfam:Camelus ferus unplaced genomic scaffold scaffold594, whole genome shotgun sequence.